GACAAGCUCUCUACUGAUGACCUGAACUC
rnacentral:piRNA from 1 species